GGGGAAGCCUAUACUGCAGUCGAACGAUGAAGCUUCUAGCUUGCUAGAAGUGGAUUAGUGGCGCACGGGUGAGUAAUGCAUAGGUUAUGUGCCCUUUAGUCUGGGAUAGCCACUGGAAACGGUGAUUAAUACUGGAUACUCCCUACGGGGGAAAGGGGCUUUCAAUAAAGAAUUUCUCUUUUUAGUGUUUUGUGUUGUUGGCACAAAAUUCUAGUAUUUGGAAUGAGAAAUUGAUGUUGUGAAGCAAUUUGUGCGGAGACUAGACUUAGUGUCUGUCGCACAAGCAAAUUGCGAACUCAUCGAUUUAUCGUCCAAAGACGAAUUUUUUAUUGAAAGCCUUCGCUAAAGGAUCAGCCUAUGUCCUAUCAGCUUGUUGGUGAGGUAAUGGCUCACCAAGGCUAUGACGGGUAUCCGGCCUGAGAGGGUGAUCGGACACACUGGAACUGAGACACGGUCCAGACUCCUACGGGAGGCAGCAGUAGGGAAUAUUGCUCAAUGGGGGAAACCCUGAAGCAGCAACGCCGCGUGGAGGAUGAAGGUUUUAGGAUUGUAAACUCCUUUUGUAAGAGAAGAUUAUGACGGUAUCUUACGAAUAAGCACCGGCUAACUCCGUGCCAGCAGCCGCGGUAAUACGGAGGGUGCAAGCGUUACUCGGAAUCACUGGGCGUAAAGAGCGCGUAGGCGGGUGGUCAAGUCAGAUGUGAAAUCCUGUAGCUUAACUACAGAACUGCAUUUGAAACUGAUCAUCUA
rnacentral:rRNA from 1 species